ACUGAAAAUCUUCGGAAUUGUAGUCUGGAGAAGUCAAGUCAGCAGAGAUCGCUGGGCCAAGUCUCCUGGAAUGGAGCGCCAUGGAGGGUGACAGCCCCGUUCAUGCCUAGUGUGUUCUGUGUACGACUGACUUUCAACGAGUCGAGUUGCUUGGGAUUGCAGCUCUAAGCGGGUGGUAAAUUCCAUCUAAAGCUAAAUAUUGGUGGGAGACCGAUAGCGAACAAGUACCGUGAGGGAAAGAUGAAAAGAACUUUGAAAAGAGAGUUAAAAGUACCUGAAAUUGCUGAAAAGGAACCGAUGGGAAGCAGUGUUGGCAAGCAGUUAUUUUGCAUUUUCCGCAUGCGGGAGGUGUGCGUGAUUGUUUGCAAGUUCGGCUUUCUUCGACGAGGGGAAGAGGUCCUGCAUCCGUGAGGAUUGGGGCAACCGUCCUUUGUGGGAGAGACUUGAACGAAAUGCUUCUUAUCAUCCCGUCUUGAAACACGGACCAAGGAGUCUAACAUGUGUGCGAGUGCUCGGGGUUGAAUCCCCCAGCGCGGAAUGAAAGUAAAAUGUGGUAGGAAGCUUCGGCUGCACUAUCGACCGACCAUGAUCCUUCGGGUGAAAGGUUUGAGUGUGAGCAUACAUGUUGGGACCCGAAAGAUGGUGAACUAUGCCUGAGUAGGGCGAAGCCAGGGGAAACUCUGGUGAAGGUCCGCAGCGAUUCU
rnacentral:rRNA from 1 species